rnacentral:rRNA from 1 species
CCUGCGGUUCAAUUGGACUCAACGCCGGGAAACUUACCAGGGGAGACAGCAGAAUGCCGGUCAGGUUGACGACCUUACCUAACGAGCUGAGAGGAGGUGCAUGGCCGUCGCCAGUUCGUGCUGUGAGGUAUCCUGUUAAGUCAGGCAACGAACGAGAUCCGCGCCUUUAUUUGCCAGCAAGAAGUCACGACUUCGUUGGGAACACUAAAGGGACCGCCUUCGAUAAGACGGAGGAAGGAGCGGGCAAAGGCAGGUCAGUAUGCCCCGAAACUCUGGGGCCACACGCGGGCUGCAAUGGUAGUGACAAUUGGUUCCGAAUCCGAAAGGAGGAGGUAAUCCCUAAACGCUACCACAGUUAUGACUGAGGGCUGCAACUCGCCCUCACGAAUAUGGAAUCCCUAGUAAAUGCGUGUCAUUAUCGCGCGGUGAAUACGUCCCUGCUCCUUGCACACACCGCCCGUCGUUUCAUUGAAGUGAGCUCUUAGCGAGGUGACGUCUGAUUGGCGUUAUCGAACUUGAGGUAAGUGACAAGGGAAAAGUCGUAACAAGGUGACCGUAGGGGAACCUACGGUCG